CAAAGGAGGUUUGAGAGCAGCCCGGCCUCAAGUGCCCCUCGGGAUCCCCGAGUGCCCCCUGGGGACCCCAGUCUGCUCCCCCGUUCCCUCAGAGUUGUCCCGGAAUCCAAGUCCAAGCUCUCUAGAGCCCCAAAUGUCGCCCCAGGCCCCUACGUGCCUCCCAAUUACCUCCCCUUCCCCGGUGUUCCCCUAUAGCGCCUCGGGGACCUCCAACUCGAUGCCACCAGAUCCCAGUCUGCCCAUAAGUGCGUCCCGCAGUCGCUCAAAUUCCUCCCGAGACCACCAGCCCCGCGGGGGGCAGUGCAGGCCCCCUGCAGCUCCACCCUCGAUGACCCCCUCGAACGAUGGCGCUUGAGGCGGUGCCGUGGGGAGGAGACAGCGCUGGACACGCCCCUGGUAGGCGGGGCCUUGCUUGGCUCUGCUGCUCCCCAGGGUGCCCUACCGGGAGUGCCACAGGGGCUGUCACGUGACCCGCCGGGGGGCCUGCAGGGGGCCGUGCCCUGGGAAUCACGUGACUUCCCUGAGGCCCUUUGGCCAAUCAGGAGACACUUCCGCGAGCACCAGGUGGCGCCUUCACCCCAGGCCAUCUCCCAGGAACCCUUAUGGCAGGAGCCCUGUUGGAGGUCACAGGUCUCCCACAAGGCCCUCUGGCCAAUGAGGAGCAGUUCUCCGGAUACCCUGCUGGGGGCACUAUACUCACAGUCCCGUGAUGCCCACGAGGCCUCGUGGCAAAUCAGCAGCAGCUGCUGUGCAUCUCUGCACCAGGGGGCGCCACCCGGUGGAAAGCGAGGGUCCCACGAACCUUUGCGGCAGGAGCCAUUUUGGGGGUCACAUGACUGCCUCGGGCAUCUGCAGUGUGUGCCCUGGUGGGAAUCACGUGACUCCCAGGGUGCCCCGCCAUCUGCACCAGAGGCGCUUCCGGAGCCCCUUCGCCGGGGAGGGCUGGGCUUCAGGUCACGUGACCCGUGUGAGGCCCCUCAGCCAAUCAGGAGCAGUGCUCAUGAUGCCUUACAGGAGGCGCCGUUGCAGGAGCCACUGGGCCCUCUGGGGGACCACCUCCUCUGGAUGCUGCGAUGCCACCGCCGGGCGAUAAGCGGACGCCUUCGGUAGGACACCUCCGCCCUCAAAUUU
rnacentral:lncRNA from 1 species